CCUACGGGUGGCAGCAGUCGAGAAUCAUUCACAAUGGGGGAAACCCUGAUGGUGCGACGCCGCGUGGGGGAAUGAAGGUCUUCGGAUUGUAAACCCCUGUUAUGUGGGAGCAAAUUAAAAAGAUAGUACCACAAGAGGAAGAGACGGCUAACUCUGUGCCAGCAGCCGCGGUAAUACAGAGGUCUCAAGCGUUGUUCGGAAUCACUGGGCGUAAAGCGUGCGUAGGCGGUUUCGUAAGUCGUGUGUGAAAGGCGAGGGCUCAACCCGCGGACGGCACAUGAUACUGCGAGACUAGAGUAAGCGAGAGGGAACCGGAAUGCUCGGUGUAGCAGUGAAAUGCGUAGAUAUCGAGAGGAACACUCGUGGCGAAGGCGGGUUCCUGGACAUUAACUGACGCUGAGGCACGAAGGCCAGGGGAGCGAAAGGGAUUAGAUACCCCAGUAGUC
rnacentral:rRNA from 1 species